rnacentral:tRNA from 1 species
GCGUCCCCCGGCCCGGCGCGCGGCGAGCUGCAGCCGCGCCAGCAGGUCGACGACGCCCAGGCCCGGCGGUCCGACCCCGCCGACGUCGCA